rnacentral:tRNA from 1 species
UCCGGUGUAGCUCAAUGGUAGAGCGACGCUCUGUUAAAGCGUGGGUUGUAGGUUCGAGUCCUACCACCGGAG